GACAGAGGGUGCAAACGUUGUUCGGAAUUACUGGGCGUAAAGGGCUCGUAGGCGGCCAACUAAGUCAGACGUGAAAUCCCUCGGCUUAACCGGGGAACUGCGUCUGAUACUGGAUGGCUAGAGGUUGGGAGAGGGAUGCGGAAUUCCAGGUGUAGCGGUGAAAUGCGUAGAUAUCUGGAGGAACACCGGUGGCGAAGGCGGCAUCCUGGACCAAUUCUGACGCUGAGGAGCGAAAGCCAGGGGAGCAAACGGG
rnacentral:rRNA from 1 species